rnacentral:pre_miRNA from 1 species
GAUUUCAACUGAAAAGUUCAUCAACAUCAAAUCUCUAUAACUCAUCAAGAUCUAUAACUUUUAUUUGGGUCAUUUCUUCAUCCAACAAAGCGAUUUGUAACAUUGUUCACAAAAUGUACAUAUCUCUUAUAUAGUUUAUAAACUAUAAGAGAGAUAAGUUCAUUUUAUGAACAAUGAUACUAUUACUUACCGAAUGAAGAAAUGACCAAAAUAAAAGUUAUAGAUACUGAUGAGUUAUACAACUUUGUUAUUGAUGACUUUUUCAGUUCAAAUC